rnacentral:rRNA from 1 species
UACAGAGGGUGCAAGCGUUAAUCGGAAUUACUGGGCGUAAAGCGUGCGUAGUCGGUUAUUUAAGUCGGGCGUGAAAGCCCCGGGCUCAACCUGGGAAUUGCGUUCGAUACUGGAUAGCUAGAGUUCGGCAGAGGGAAGCGGAAUUUCUGGUGUAGCGGUGAAAUGCGUAGAUAUCAGAAGGAACAUCAGUGGCGAAAGCGGCCUCCUGGACCAGAACUGACGAUCAGGCACGAAAGCGCGGGGAGCAAACAGG